rnacentral:rRNA from 1 species
CAGUCGCCGCGGUAAUACGGAGGGUGCAAGCGUUAAUCGGAAUUACUGGGCGUAAAGCGCGCGCAGGCGGUCUGUCAAGUCAGAUGUGAAAUCCCCGGGCUUAACCUGGGAACUGCAUUUGAAACUGGCAGGCUAGAGUCUUGUAGAGGGGGGUAGAAUUCCAGGUGUAGCGGUGAAAUGCGUAGAGAUCUGGAGGAAUACCGGUGGCGGAGGCAGCCCCCUGGGCCAACACUGACGCUGAGGCGCGAAAGCGUGGGGAGCAAACAGGAUUAGAUACCCCUGUAGUCCCUGUCUCUUAUAA